ensembl:lncRNA
CAAAUCGUGACCAAUACAAAUUUGUAAUGGAAACCUAUACAAACCAAUAAAUCCUAAUGGAAUAUGCCCAAAACACACUACGUAAUGGAAACCAUUUGGUAAUGGUUUUAAUGGUUAAUGGCUGAUGGUUUGUAAUGGUUUUGUAAUGGAAACCAUUAGAAUUUCUGUAAUGGUUUCUAUUGUUUUUUUCAGCAGGGUUAUCAUCCAUAUUACAACGUUAUUGCUUCGUUGGACUAAACGUGCUCCAUGAGAUGUCGUUCAGUGGACCCUUACCUUCCUAACUAAACCAGGAUUUACAGCUGUGGAUGUGUUUAUGACUCAUUAUUACAACGAAUCUGGAAUUAUGGACAAGCAUUUUUAUCAAGAGAACAUCAUAAAAUCUAAUUUGGCGCCGUACAUAAGACAACACUUUAAAGGAUCUCAUCGUUUCUUCCAAGGUAAAUUUUUACGAACUGUGUUGUGAUCUUUUCUGAUUUUAAUUACUGAAAGUUGAAUAAGCAUUUAAUGUUUAUUAUUAUUAUUAUUAUUAUAAAUUUUUUUUUUUUUUUUAACAGACAAUGACCCGAAACAUACAGCCGCGAGGCAGUAUAUUGCUGAGGAGGGGAUCAACUGGGUGAAAACACCAGCUGAGUAUGUUUGUGUCUGUCCAUUUUUUUAUUUUUUAUUUUUUUAUUCUGGUUUACGAAAUGUACAUUUGACAAAAUCGCCCAACUUGUCAUUUUGUUUUCGCAUGCAGAUCACCAGAUCUUAAUCCAAUCGAGCUGGUGUGUGGCACGCAAUGAAGGAAUUCAUCAGACGUCAGGUCAAGCCAAGAAAUAAAGACGAGCUUCUUGAGGCCAUUGUAACUUUUUGGUGAAAUUGCUAGACAAAAACUGUCUGCAACAGAUACAUUGACCACCUUCAGAAGGUUUUGCAACGGAUGCGCUACUGGAAUGUAACAAAUUGAUUGUAAUUUUGUAAAUUUAUCGUAAACUUGCUAUUAUUUAUUAAACCUUAGACUAACAAUAAUCUGCUGUCUCUUAUUUCUAAGCAUCACAAAGAAUGAUAAAACAUAAACGUCGGCCAACAUUGCUUAAGAGCAAAUAUUGAUAAAUAAAAUAAAUAAAUAAAUAAAAAAAAAAAAAAUCUUUUAAAAGAAGAAAUUUCAAGCUUUCUGUAGAUAUAUUUCUCAUGAAUGUGAGGCACCCCAAUUUUAAGUUAUUUCAUUAUCAGGAAAAAAAUUUAGUGAUCAUGGGGACGCCUCCCUGUCAUGCAUGUACAUUAAUAAUUUUCCACACAAACACUUGAAUAUGAGCACAUUUCUUUUAGGUUACAGUAUGGGAUCCG